UUGUAAUCUGAUCACAAUCUACACUUGUAUUACACGUGAGAAUGAAUGAAAGUUUUAUGCUGACUUUUCAUCACAGAAACAAAUACAAACCUGUCUUUGUAACAAUUUAACACCACCGUAAACAAUACAUUGUUGAGGGGGGGGGGAGGGAAAGCACAAUGUUCUUGAAGCCAAUGGCUAAAAUUCCUCCAAUGAAGCAUGCGAUCCUGCAAAUUUUUACACAGUAAAUACAAGACCCAUUUCGCCACAUGGUGGUAUAUAUGCACUACUUUAACUUCAAUCCAAGGCAACACCAAUACUUCACAAUGAAAAUAGAUUCACAGAGGCAAGUGAGACUUGAUCUGAAAUCAAUUGAAACUAGGAACACAAUCCUUUCCACAUAAUUUGUCAGCUCAUGCUUAGAUAGGGGGCCCAAUGUCACCACUUGCAUCAAUUUCAGAUUCCAAAUCAGCAUCCCAGUCAUCAGAUGUACCAGCAAUAGCUUGCUCACUGACUUUCGCAACUUCCCCAGGCAUCUUUGCCUCUUGUAUGAUACACAUUACUUCAUCAACACUCUGACUUGGUUGAUCGCGUUCUGAUUCCGCAAAGUUUUUCUUCUCAAUUUCAAUGAGCUCCUUCGGAAAAUUUUUUAGAAACCAAGGGUGCUGCUUGAUCUCUGGGAUGGUAAUCCUCUUGGCAGGAUUAGCCACAAAAAUACGAGAAAGGAGGUGCUUGCAAUCUGCAGAGACUCGUACAUAGUCUGGUAUGGAGUAUUGAACGCUCAUUAUUCUCCCAAUGGUCUUACGGAAAUUCCUAGGGUCUUCAGGAUCCUCAAAAGGGUAUGCUCCCACCAACAUCACAUAUAAUGUCACCCCACACGACCAAACAUCUGAAAUCUUGCCAUCAUAUUCUUUUCGAGAUAGAACUUCAGGAGCAAUGUACGCAGGUGUUCCAACUGUAGAUUUGGGUUGCGAGUGCAACAGAGCAGACUUGGAAUAACCAAAAUCACAUAUUUUAAGUCGGGGCGUAGGGCUUCCAUCCAAAAGUGUAUUUUCAAGUUUCAGAUCCCUGUGACAAAUUUCCAUGGAAUGACAGUAGCUGACUCCAGAUAUUAGCUGCUGAAAGAAGAAUCUCGCCUCAUCUUCGCUAAAUCUACCAGCACUGCAUAUCCUUGCAAAGAGUUCACCACCAGCUGCAUAUUCCAUGACAAUUGCUAAAUGUGUCGGAGUCAACAAGACCUCUUUGAACCGAACAAUAUUUGGAUGCCUUAAAGAUCUGUGAUUGAUGAUUUCUCUCUGCACAUUCUCAUCAAUCUUUUUCCCCCUCUCUAUGUACUUUACAGCAACAAGCUCCUUUGUCUUCUUAUCCCUCACUAGCCUUGCCACCCCAAAAUUACCAGAACCAAGAUCCUUAAUUGGCUCAUAUCUCUCCUCCAUCUUUUCCCACACAAAGACAAAACGGAAAGGAAAGAAAAGAAAAUGCUAAAGCAGACCAACAAAUCGCCAACAGCGAAAAAAGAAAAUAAAUCAAACA
rnacentral:misc_RNA from 1 species